GGUUUGAUUAUGGCUCAGAUUGAACGCUGGCGGGAUGCUUUACACAUGCAAGUCGAACGGCAGCACGGACUUCGGUCUGGUGGCGAGUGGCGAACGGGUGAGUAAUGUAUCGGAACGCCUAGUAGCGGGAUAACGACGCGAAAGUACAAUACCGGCACAUACCUUUCGAAAGCGGGGACCUUCGGGCCUCGCACUAUUAGAGCGGCCGAUAUCGGAUUAGCUAGUUGGUGGGGUAACGGCUCACCAAGGCGACGAUCCGUAGCUGGUUUGAGAGGACGACCAGCCACAUCCAGACCAGACACGGCCCAGACUCCUACGGAGGCAGCAGGUGGGGAAUUUCGACAAUGGGGAAACCCUGAUCCAGCCAUCCUGGCGUGUGCGAUGAAGGCCUUCGGGUUGUAAAGCACUUUUGGCAGGAAAAGAAACGGCACGGGAUAAUACCCCGUGCAACUGACGGUACCUGCAGAAUAAGCACCAGCUAACUACGUGCCAGCAGCCGCGGUAAUAUAGGUGCGUUAAUCGGAAUUACUGGGCGUAAAAGCGUGCGCAGGCGGUUCGGAAAGAAAGAUGUGAAAUCCCAGAGCUUAACUUUGGAACUGCAUUUUUAACUACCGAGCUAGAGUGUGUCAGAGGGAGGUGGAAUUCCGCGUGUAGCAGUGAGCUGCGUAGAUAUGCGGAGGAACACGAGCGGCGAAGGCAGCCUCCUGGGAUAACACUGACGCUCAUGCACGAAAGCGUGGGGAGCAAACAGGAUUAGAUACCCUGGUAGUCCUACGCCUCAAACGAUGUCAACUAGCUGUUGGGGCCUUCGGGCCUUGGUAGCGCAGCUAACGCGUGAAGUUGACCGCCUGGGGAGUACGGUCGCAAGAUUAAACUCGUGCGAAUUGACGGGGACUCCGCACAAGCGCGCAGAUGAUGUGGAUUAAUUCGAUGCAACGCGAAAACCUUACCUACCCUUGACAUGUCUGGAAUCCCGAAGAGAUUUGGGAGUGCUCGCAAGAGUAACCCGGAACACAGGUGCUGCAUGGCUGUCGUCAGCUCGUGUCGUGAGAUGUUGUUGUCCCGCAACGAGCGCAACCCUUGUCAUUAGCUGCUGCUGAAAGGGCACUCUUCGAAUGAGAUCGGCGGUGACAAACCGGAGGAAGGUGGGGAUGACGUCAAGUCCUCAUGGCCCUUAUGGGUAGGGCUUCACACGUCAUACAAUGGUCGGGACAGAGGGCCGCCAACCGCGAGGAGGCCAUCCCAGAAACCCGAUCGUAGUCCGGAUCGCAGUCUGCAACUGACUGCGCAGAAGUUAACCAGUAGUAAUCGCGGAUCAGGUUUGUCGCGGUGAAUACGUUCCCGGGAGUCUUGUACACACCGCCCGUCACACCAUGGAGUGGGUUUUACCAGAAGUAGUUAGCCUAACCGUAAGGAGGGCGAUUACCACGGUAGAUCUAUGAUCGGGGUGAAGUCGUAACAAGGUAA
rnacentral:rRNA from 1 species